rnacentral:lncRNA from 1 species
CCAUGGCGUCCACCACCCUCUCCUCCGCCUUCACCCUCCUCUCCCGCCCCUCCUCCUCCCCGUCCCCCUCCGCCUCGCUCCCGAGGUCCUCCGUCGCCGUCCCGCGCCGGGGCCGCCGCGCCGUCGCUGUCGCGUCCACCGCCACAGAGUCCCCCAAGGUCCUGGAGCUCGGGGACGCCAUCGCCGGGCUCACGCUCGAGGAGGCCCGCAGCCUCGUCGACCACCUCCAGGAGCGGCUCGGCGUCACCGCCGCGGCCUUCGCGCCGGCCGCCGUCGUCGCGGCGCCUGGGGCGGGCGGCGCGGGGGCUGCCGAGGAGGCGGCCCCGGUCGAGCAGACGGAGUUCGAUGUCGUCAUCGAUGAGGUGCCCAGCAGCG